rnacentral:rRNA from 1 species
GCACCCGCGGUAAUUCCAGCUCCAAUAGCGUAUAUUAAAGUUGUUGCAGUUAAAAAGCUCGUAGUUGGAUUUCUGGGAGGGUGCCGAUGUCCACUUAACGUGUGCGCAGCGGCGCCCUCUCAUCCUUCUGUUAGCGUCUCUUGGCAUUUAUUUGCUGGUGGCGGGCUCAGAUAUUUUACCUUGAGAAAAUUAGAGUGUUUCAGGCAGGCUAGGCCGGAAUACAUUAGCAUGGAAUAAUGGAAUAGGACUACGGUCUCUUUGUUGGUUUGAGGGACUGCAGUAAUGAUUAAUAGGGAUAGUUGGGGGCAUUAGUACUUAACUGUCAGAGGUGGAAUUCUCAGAUUUGUUAAAGACUGACUUAUGCGAAAGCAUUUGCCAAGGAUGUUUUCAUUAAUCAAGAACGAAAGU